UACGGGGGGAGCAAGCGUUGUUCGGAUUUACUGGGCGUAAAGGGCGCGUAGGCGGCCACCGCAAGUCGAUUGUGAAAUCUCCGGGCUUAACCCGGAAAGGUCAACCGAUACUGCGGGGCUAGAGUGCAGAAGGGGCAACUGGAAUUCUCGGUGUAGCGGUGAAAUGCGUAGAUAUCGAGAGGAACACCUGCGGCGAAGCGGGUUGCUGGGCUGACACUGACCGCUGAUGUGCGAAAGCUAGGGGAGCGAACGGG
rnacentral:rRNA from 1 species